UUGAAGUUUAAAAAUCGUAACAAGGUUUCCGUAGGUGAACCUGCGGAAGGAUCAUUACCGGAGUUGAUUCGAGCUCCGGCUCGACUCUCCCACCCCAUGUGUACCUACCUCUGUUGCUUUGGCGGGCCGCGGUCCUCCGCACCGACCCCCGUUCGGGGGCCGGCCAGCGCCCGCCAGAGGACCACAAAACUCCAGUCAGUAAACGUCGCAGUCUGAGAAACAAGUUAAUAAACUAAAACUUUCAACAACGGAUCUCUUGGUUCUGGCAUCGAUGAAGAACGCAGCGAAAUGCGAUAAGUAAUGUGAAUUGCAGAAUUCAGUGAAUCAUCGAAUCUUUGAACGCACAUUGCGCCCCUUGGUAUUCCGAGGGGCAUGCCUGUUCGAGCGUCAUUUCAACCCUCAAGCUCUGCUUGGUAUUGGGCUCCGUCCUCCGCGGACGCGCCUCGAAGACCUCGGCGGUGGCGUCUUGCCUCAAGCGUAGUAGAAAACACCUCGCUUUGGAGCGCAUGGCGUCGCCCGCCGGACGAACCUUUGAAUUUUUCUCAAGGUUGACCUCGGAUCAGGUAGGGCCAUACCCGCUGAACUUAAGCAUAUCAAUAGGCCGGAGGAA
rnacentral:rRNA from 1 species